GACGAACGCUGGCGGCGUGCCUAACACAUGCAAGUCGAACGGCAGCACAGGAGAGCUUGCUCUCUGGGUGGCGAGUGGCGGACGGGUGAGGAAUACAUCGGAAUCUACCUUUUCGUGGGGGAUAACGUAGGGAAACUUACGCUAAUACCGCAUACGACCUACGGGUGAAAGUGGGGGACCGCAAGGCCUCACGCGAUUAGAUGAGCCGAUGUCCGAUUAGCUAGUUGGCGGGGUAAUGGCCCACCAAGGCGACGAUCGGUAGCUGGUCUGAGAGGAUGAUCAGCCACACUGGAACUGAGACACGGUCCAGACUCCUACGGGAGGCAGCAGUGGGGAAUAUUGGACAAUGGGCGCAAGCCUGAUCCAGCCAUACCGCGUGGGUGAAGAAGGCCUUCGGGUUGUAAAGCCCUUUUGUUGGGAAAGAAAUCCUGUCGAUUAAUACUCGGUGGGGAUGACGGUACCCAAAGAAUAAGCACCGGCUAACUUCGUGCCAGCCGCCGCUGUAAGAC
rnacentral:rRNA from 1 species